rfam:Hymenolepis diminuta genome assembly, scaffold: HDID_contig0000425
CCCACGGCCCUCUUUAGGGCCACACUACAUCUGAUUGUUAUGAAACU